rnacentral:rRNA from 1 species
AUUGAACGCUGGCGGCAGGCCUAACACAUGCAAGUCGAGCGGAGCGGCUGACGGGUGAGUAAUGCCUAGGAAUCUGCCUUGUCGUGGUGGAUAACGUCCGGAAACGGGCGCUAAUACCGCAUACUAUCAGAUGAGCCUAGGUCGGAUGAGCUAGUUGGGGGGGUAAAGGCCUACCCAGGCGACGAUCCGUAACUGGUCUGAGAGGAUGAUCAGUCACACUGGAACUGGGACACGGUCCAGACUCCGACGGGAGGCAGCAGGGGGGAAGAUUGGACAAUGGGCGAAAGCCUGAUCUAGCCAUGCCGCGUGUGUGAAGAAGGUCUUCGGAUUGUAAAGCACUUUAAGUUGGGAGGCGUUACCAACAGAAUAAGCACCGGCUAACUUCGUGCCAGCAGCCGCGGUAAUUC